rnacentral:rRNA from 1 species
AGCAGUAGCCACGGUAAUACGUAGGGUGCAAGCGUUAAUCGGAAUUACUGGGCGUAAAGCGUGCGCAGGCGGUUAUAUAAGUCAGAUGUGAAAUCCCCGGGCUCAACCUGGGAACUGCAUUUGAGACUGUAUGGCUAGAGUGUGUCAGAGGGGGGUAGAAUUCCACGUGUAGCAGUGAAAUGCGUAGAUAUGUGGAGGAAUACCGAUGGCGAAGGCAGCCCCCUGGGAUAACACUGACGCUCAUGCACGAAAGCGUGGGGAGCAAACAGGAUUAGAGACCCCCGUAGUCCCUGUCUCUUAUAC